CGCUACUCCUUCCAUUGCUUGGAACAAUGUAGACGUUAUUGUGCUAUUCGUUGCUCUUUAAGUUUCUUUCACAACUGUAAAAAGGGCAAACGGGUGGUGGACACUUUGUUUUUCGUCUUGUUUCUCUCCAUGUUUUUUUUUCCACGGUGUGUAUGCAUGUAAUAAUCAUACUUAAAAAUUGUUUUUGAAUAAUGAACAAAUAAACACAUACACCGAAGUAAGCAUGACAAAAAAAGUAGAGUGUCGUAGUCAUAGGCGCCUCCAUCGUUGCAGUCUUGGUUGAAAAGCGAGCGAAUCUAUAACUUUUAAUCAAAUUCAUCGGACGAUAUCUUUAGCAGACAGCAGGUGGCCAGAUGACGUUUAUAUUGUAUAAAAAUAUCUACUCAAAAAUGUAUCGUUUUAAAAACAAUGUAAGAAAAACAUAGUGUUGAUGUAAAUGCGUUUUGGUAGAACGAUUUUGUAAUAAUUUAGUGUUGCAUAUUUCACACCUGUUUCCAGGGACUUACUGGUUUUUCCCCCGUUCAUUUUAUUUCCACUUGGCUGGUUAUAGUUUCGCUUCGUUUUGUGUUAUCAAGAAAACAAAAACAAAAAAAUUUACAUUUUACGAAUUUUUCUUAUUAUUAUUAUUAAUACAAAAUAUCUCGUCAAGUUCAAUUCGUAGGUAAAAAAAAUUCCAAAGAUUAUCGUCUUUUUCGUUUCACCUUCUCUGUCUAUCUCUCUCUGUCUCUCUCUAUCUCUGUCUCUCCCUCCAUCUCUCUCCCUCCAUAUCGAAUGAUUAAAAUGUCAACCGUUCAACAGUAGUUUUAAUAAUUCAUUCCAUACAUUUUGCCGUUCAUUACCGAAGCCGUUGUAAUAUUUG